UGCAUCGGCCGGGUAUCGAACCCGGGCUGCCCGCGUGGCAGGCGAGCAUUCUACCACUGAACCACCGAUGC
rnacentral:tRNA from 1 species